rnacentral:lncRNA from 1 species
CCGCUAAGAAGAAGCCCAUGGGCUAUCUCCACGAUCUCCUUCUUACCAACAUGUGCAUAGCUACCAAACGAAACAUAGAGAACUGAUCCGGUGGGGCGGCCUUUGAGCCACUCGGUACAAUCUGACUCGGUCCACAGGCUUGUGGGGACAACCGAUUCGCUUGAGAUAACCGGGCCGAUGGCGUAAACCGGUUGGUUGGCUUGUAGAGCCGAGAGAGAGUCUGGUUCGAGUUCUUGUACGGUGUUGCAUAAAACGAAAUCUGCUUUCUUGACGUCUGUGAAGGCCUUGAAUAUUAUUCUAUAGACCACUGUGUUUGUGUCGACGUCUUUGUCGCUCACUUGAAGAUAUGACAUCAAGUCCUUUGGUUCUAUUGCAUUAACUCCUGGUAUGUAAUCGAUCACGUCUUCACGGUUAUCUAGCAUAUAGUUUAAAAAAUGUUCAAUAAAUCAUGUAACAAAAAACAUUUAAAACAUAAAAAAAGUUCUUCGAAAUUCGCUUCCACGAAAUAUUCAAAUCAUGAAAAGUCAUACACCAAAUUUUUGUGAAUUUUUAUGGAUUUAAUUUAAUAUACAGCUACGUAAAUAUAAUAUGUAACAAAAAUAUCAGUGGCAUGAUUAAUUAAUUAAGAGGGUUACCAAGAGACUUGAAAUGACCGUUAGAUAUGAGGAGAUGCAUGUGAUAAUAGAGAUUAAGGACCAAGGCAGGUUCGGUCCAAAACGAGACAUUAACAAGGUUGUGUUUCUCGCAAAUCAUAGAUGACCAAACGUAAAACGUGUCGUUGAUCAAGCAAGUCACCGGAGGAUCAUCACCCCGGCGGGAGAUUUUGGUGAUGAGAUCGUCAACGUGGGCAGGGAAGACGUGGAUAAUGCCUUCGAAGAAUUGGUCAUGGUUAAGCGACCGGUCAAACUCCAAAGGGAAGCCGUCGCUCACCGUGGUGUAACGUAUGUCAAGGUUCUCGGAGCUGCGAGCUUCGGAGAAGAUAUCUCCGGCGUCACCUUGGCGAGCGGUGGAGAUCUGGUGGUGGAUGGAGUCAGUGUUGACGAAAGUGAUGGUGAAGCCAUGUGAAGCUAGUUUGAUGGCUAAGUGGACAAAAGGGAUGACAUGGCCUUGAAGUGGGUAUGGUAUCAUCAUGGCAUGAGGCUUUCUCGACUUUGCUCUUUCCAUUGAUCUUCGAUAUUUGGAACGAUUUAUUCUCUUGGUAUUUUGAGUGGCAUAGAUGUGCAGACUGGAUAUUUAUACAUGGUUUAGUAAGUUUCUAAUAGAUCUUUUUUUUUUUUUUUUUUUUUUUUUUUUUUUUUUUUUUUUUUUUUUUUUUUUUUUUUUUUUUUUUAACUUUAAACUUUAUUUAUAUAACAAUUGUCUCCAGAUUACAGCACUCUGUUCAGAUCACAAACCAAUCUGCUUACCAAAAAAAGACUCCAAAAAGAAAUUACCUACUAGCUAUCAAACAAGCGACGCCAAGUAGAGAGAAAAGUAACAGUGGAAGGGAGGUUCCUCUGCUCUCUGGAGAGUAUGUCCAUCUUUAUUCGAAGAAGCUGCUUGAUCUCCAAAAUCAGUGAGGCUGAAGGACGGGAACCUGAGAGUGUAACCUUGAGUUCCUUUCUUUCCAGACCAAAUAAACACAAGCUUGAAAAGCAAGUUUCAGAAUAAGAUUGACAUUGUUGUCGCGAGUAGGGCCUUUGAUCCAUCUUAGUACAUCCAUGAUCAAGGUAGGAGGAGAAAGACGGAGGGUAGAGUAGAAGAAGGACCAAACUUCCUUGCUGUACCCACAGUCAAAGAAGAUAUGCUGGCGAGACUCAUCCGCUGUGCCACAUAGAGGACAUGUAGGAGAGACCAAUACACCCCAUUGUCUCAUCCUGUCCCUAGUUGAUAAUCUGUCCAGAGCUACUAACCAUGAAAUAAAAGCAUGCUUUGGAAUCCUUCCCUUGAACCAGAUAGAUUUAUGCCAGUUCACUUCAGGUUCCUGUUCAUACAAAUGAUUCCACAUGAGGGACGAUGAGAAACCUUUGACAGGGGCGUUGUCGCCAACCUUCCACAGAAAGCGGUCAUCUGCUUCUGAUGAAACUACUUCCUGAUGGUCGGGGAGGCAGUUCUUCAGUAAGCAUAUUGUCGGGUUUCUUGAUCUAGAUGAGCUUAUCCACCAACGGUUACCUACCAGCGCAUCUCGAACUACUGCCAUAGCUGGUAGGCCUGUCAAUCUCGGACCUGACUCGCCUGUUAGCUGAAUCAGAGGACCCAAGGAAGUCCAGUUAUCGUGCCACACCAUUCGUAGAAAACUUGAGAGGAUAUUCUUUUGAAGAAAAGUAAACAGUUUACCAAUUAAACAAUUCCUUUUAAGCUUAACAUAUCUCCUUUCAAGUUAUAUACUCUGGACUGCUCUGGAUCGACAACAAACAAUAUAUAGACCACACGACUAAUACUAUAUCAUGUUAUGCUAUAUAAGUUUCCAAUUUAAAACCAAUUAACAAUUAACAGAUGAACGGACUGAUUUGUUUAUCGUUUAUUCUAGGUCUUAUCUCAAUUCCAACAUAGAAUCCCUAACACUUACUAAUCAUACAGGUUCUACUGUGAAUAUAUUAGAACUCGAAUAUGCAUGUACAUAAACAUAUAAUGAAUGAUAUUAUAUUGUUUUUUAUCUUGGAAAGUAUAUUGAAACAACAGAAGCCGUCGAAUUUGGUUUCGGGAAAAGAUGAGGACGAUGAAUUUUCAAAGGGCACGUAGAGACAGUCUGUUCGUGUACGAGGACGACAUGAUAAGAACGAGUGGACAAGUGUAACUAAAGCAGAUUUGUCAUUUUAUGACAAGUUGGCUUGCAUCAUUUGUGUAUCAUUGGCUUACAUCAAUUUUGUAAGUUUUGUAAUUAUAACUUUAGAUGAUUACUUAUGGCAACAUGGCACUUCAGUAAGUUGUUAUAAGCUACUAACCAUUUAGUACAAACCCUCAUAUCUAAUAUAUAUAAUAUCAGUUAAUCUACUAAUAAUAGCAAUCCCAAUUAAUUCCAAAGGUUUUGAGUCCACUUAUGUUGAAAGGUUGUGUCUUUUGAAAAAGAAGUGUAAAGGGUUGUGUCUUUUCUAAAAGUUCUAUGUUGGAAGGUUGUAUCUUUUCCAAUUAAUUUCUAAGGUUGUGAAUCCACUUAUGUUGAAAGGUUGUGUCUUUUGAAAAAGUAGUGUAAAGGGUUGUGUCUUUUCUAAAAGUUCUAUGUUGUAAGGUUGUGUCUUUUCCAAUUAAUUCCUAAGGUUGUGAACUUCAAUUAUGUUGAAAGGUUGUAUCUUUUGAAAAAUAUGUGUAGAGAGUUGUGUCUUUUCUAAAAGUUAUAUGUUGUGAGGUUGUGUCCUUCUAAAAAUAGUCUAAAAGUUGUGACUAUUCACUAGUAUCUUUUAAAAAGUGAGAAGUUGUGAGUAUUAGAAGAAUGCAACUAUUCAUAUUGAAGGGUUGUGACUAUUCAAAUAGGCUUUAAAAAAUCUAUAAAUAGUCUCUCCCAUGCAUUUUUCAAAUCAAAUUUUCACUAAUCUACUAAUAAUAAAAUGGUGAAAAAAAUAAUGUCAAAAUUGCAACUUUUCAUCUAAAUAAGGUGUCUUUUCAUCUCAAAGUGGGAUUGUUUUUCUACUAAUAAUAGCAAUCCCAAUUAAUUCCAAAGAUUGUGAGUCCACUUAUGUUGAAAGGUUGUGUCUUUUGAAAAAGAAGUGUAAAUGGUUGUGUCUUUUCUAAAAGUUCUAUGUUGGAAAGUUGUGUCUUUUCCAAUUAAUUUCUAAGGUUGUGAAUCCACUUAUGUUGAAAGGUUGUGUCUUUUGAAAAAGUAGUGUAAAGGGUUGUGUCUUUUCUAAAAGUUCUAUGUUGUAAGGUUGUGUCUUUUCCAAUUAAUUCCUAAGGUUGUGAACUUCAAUUAUGUUGAAAGGUUGUGUCUUUUGAAAAAUAUGUGUAGAGAGUUGUGUCUUUUCUAAAAGUUAUAUGUUGUAAGGUUGUGUCCUUCUAAAAAUAGUCUAAAAGUUGUGACUAUUCACUAGUAUCUUUUAAAAAGUGAGAAGUUGUGAGUAUUAGAAGAAUGCGACUAUUCAUAUUGAAGGGUUGUGACUAUUCAAAUAGGCUUUAAAAAAAUCUAUAAAUAGUCUCUCCCAUGCAUUUUUCAAAUCAAAUUUUCACUAAUCUACUAAUAAUAAAAUGGUGAAAAAAAUAAUGUCAAAGUUGCAACUUUUCAUCUAAACAAGGUGUCUUUUAAUCUCAAAGUGGGAUUGCUUUAAAAAUAUUGGUUUUAUUUAAGUAAUGUGUUAGUUUAUAUAAUAAGUGUUGGUAUUUUAUAAGAACUCUCCCAAAAAUUAAAAAAAUAUUAUAAAUGAGACAGGUUAUAUUAACGUAAAUCAACAUAUAUUUAUUACAAUAUUCAAUUUUCUGGAUAUUCAUUUUCAAUAAAUAAAGCAGGUAGAUAAAUAUACAAAAUAACAAUUACCAACAUAUAAAUUAUAAUUGUUUAAAAUUAUAAACUAAUAAUUUUAAUAUUAUGUCUUAAAUAGGAAAAAAAAUUAUAUAUCAUGCAAAAAAAAAUUGCAUUUUGUUCAAAAAGUGGUUGAAGAUAACUAUCAUGUGAAAAAUGUAUGAAAAAACUUAAAAAUGAUGAAGACAUAAUUGUAUGCAAUAUGUGUUUUGAUAAAGAAGCAGGAUUCAAUGGCUCCACAGUGGAGACUGUAAUUCUGCCUUUUUUCAUGCCGUUACCCGUGAGAGAAGAACCAUUAAUAAGUUUUCUGUGAUAGAAAACUCAUUGGGUCAACCGGUGUUUGAAGAAGAACAAAUAGUUCAGACCAUUUCAGACUACUACACGGAACUAUUCUCGUCGCAGCAAACACCCUCGCUCCAUGUGGUGGAUGAAGUCUUGUCCCCUCUCAUCACACCUGAGAUGAAUGAGGUUUUGGUCAAGAUACCGGAUAAGCUGGAAAUCAAACAGGCGGUCUUCUCUAUCAACCCGGAUAAAGCGCCGGGGCCGGACGGUUUCUCUGCAAGCUUUUACCAGAGCUUUUGGGACAUUAUCGGGGAUGAUAUAACAGAGGAAGUCGGCUCCUUCUUCACGACGAACACCCUUGAUGCUCGCUUCAAUGAGACCCAUGUCAGGUUAAUUCCAAAAAACAGAGGAGCAAAGACAGUCGCUGACUAUAGGCCAAUCGCCUUGUGUAGCACUCACUACAAGAUCAUAGCCAAAGUAUUCACCUCGCGACUACAACCUGUGCUUCAAGCCAUCAUCUCCAAGAACCAAUCUGCCUUUGUUAAGGGAAGAGCAAUAUCUGAUAACGUACUCAUUACCCAUGAAGUCCUCCAUUAUCUCCAAACCUCUAAGGCUAGUGUACGAAGCUCAAUGGCGGUGAAAACCGACAUGAGUAAAGCGUACGACAGAAUCGAAUGGAACUUUCUGGAAAGAGUCUUAGGGAAGCUGGGCUUUCACCCAAUCUGGGUGGUGUGGAUAAUGGAAUGCAUCCGCUCAGUGUCUUACUCCUUUCUUGUAAAUGGAGCAGCUCAGGGAAAAGUAACCCCCACAAGGGGUAUAAGACAAGGAGAUCCCCUCUCACCCUACCUCUUCAUCCUCUGCACGGAAGUUCUUUCGAAGCUCUGCGAUAAGUCUCUGCAAGAUGGGAGAAUGGCGGGUGUUAAAGUGGCACGAGGCUGCCCUCCAAUUAACCACUUGCUUUUCGCGGACGACACAAUGUUCUUCACCAAAACAAAUGUGUCUAGCUGUGAAGCGUUAAAACGCAUCUUAACAGUGUAUGAAGGGGCAUCGGGCCAGUGCAUCAACCUAGGGAAGUCGGCAAUUACCUUUUCCUCAAAGACAUCUAGCGAAGUGAAGACUAGAAUAAAAGCUUUCUUUAACAUCCAAAAUGAGGGAGGCGUUGGCAAAUACUUGGGACUCCCCGAGCACUUUGGGAGGAAAAAAAGGGACAUUUUUGCUAAUCUCAUUGACAGGAUCCGACAACGUUCAAUUGGCUGGACAACGAGAUUUCUAUCAAAGGCGGGAAAGCAAGUCCUACUACAAGCAGUGUUAGCGGCUCUGCCAACGUACACUAUGUCCUGUUUCAAGCUACCUCUCUCAAUAUGCAAGCAGAUUCAGAGUGUCUUAACGCGCUUUUGGUGGGAUGUAAAGCCAACAGUUCGCAAGCUCUGUUGGGUCUCGUGGAAUAGACUCACGCGGCCAAAAGGGGCUGGAGGUUUGGGUUUCAGAGAAAUCGAACAAUUCAACGACGCUCUCUUGGCAAAACUUGCUUGGAGGAUCCUGAAAGAACCCCAUUCUCUACUAGCACAGACGCUGCUUGGUAAAUACUGCUUAAACUCCUCUUUCUUGGAAUGCACGGCACCCGCCUCAGCUUCCAUGGCUGGAGAGGGAUACUUGCGGGAAGAGAGGUUCUCCGGCAGGGCCUGGGUUGGGUGGUGGGAAACGGGAAGGAUAUCUCUGUCUGGUCAGAGCCUUGGCUAAGUCUUGAGAGGCCAACGGCUCCUAUAGGACCGCCUACCCUAGCAAAUUCCAACCUAUGCGUAGCCAACCUAUUACUACCCUCCUCCACAGAUUGGAACAUUCAAAUGAUCAGAGACCAUCUGCCUCAAUAUGAGGAGGUUAUUAAGUCCAUUAUUCCUAGCGACUGCAACAUGAAGGAUGAGUUGGUUUGGCUGAAGGAUAAAUCUGGGAACUACACUACAAAAUCAGGGUACGCAUUAGCAAAGAUCAACUCUGAGGCUGAACCUUCUGACCAUUUCGACUGGAAGAAGAGGAUAUGGGCCCUCAACACCUCCCCGAAGCUCAAGCAUUUACUCUGGAAGGCAAACGUUGGAGCCCUACCCGUUGGAGCCGCACUACAAAGCAGGGGAAUUGAUAUUGAUGAUAAGUGCAAACGUUGUGGAGCAGUUGAAACAGAGAUACAUGUCUUGCUCCACUGCCCUUUUGCUACCCAAGUGUGGAACAAACUCCCCUGUCUCCAUGCUCCAUCUUCACUCCAGCAACCUCCCAUGUCGGUACCGGAUCUACUUGAUAGCUGUAGCAGAGUAAUAACCUUGCCUCCGAUAGGAUUGGGAUCAACUCCGAUCUCGCCAUGGGUCUUGUGGACCCUUUGGACUAAUAGGAAUAAGUUACUCUUUGAAAAUAAAGAGUACACUGUUGAGGAAUCAGUUCUGAAAAUCCUCAAAGACUCUAAAGCUUGGAGAGAAGCUCAGGAGUCGAAAAAAUGUAUUCCGUUGCCACAGAAUGUGGAUCUCUCUCGCCAUGUGUCUAACCCCCAUGUACCCCAACUCCCUCUUGUUGCGGGAUCCUCGUGGAGCGUCUACUCUGAUGCUGCUUGGGACUCUAGAACCGGAAACUGUGGUAUGGGCUGGCACUUCAGCGACAGCAUGGCUUCACCAGCAGGAAGUAACUUCUCAAAACGCCGCUCAGUCCCCUCAGCCCUAGUAGCAGAGGCAUUGGCGUUAAAGACCGCAAUCUCCGAAGCGGUCAACCGUAGCAUUGAUUCUCUUAGAGUGUUCUCUGAUUCCAAAAGCCUCAUCUCUCUGCUUGUUACCAAGAAGAACCACACUUGGAUUCAAGGAACACUCUUCGAUAUUCACUAUCUUUCUAGUUCUUUUAGUAACAUAUCUUUCCAUUUCAUCCCGCGUGUGGGAAAUACUCUAGCUGAUACUCUAGCGAAAUCAGCGCUGCUAUCCUUUAAUCAACUCUCCGUCUGUGGAUGAGUAAAAACUACUUAUGUUUUCUUCUUUAGCUAAUCAAGUAUGGUUUUCGAUCAAAAAAAAAAAAAUGUGUUUUGAUAAAAAAUUAAAGGGAACAUUAAGGUUUAUAAAAUAUAUAUAUAUAUAUAUAUAUAUAUAUAUAUAUAUAUUUGAAUACUUUGUAAAUCAUAUUUUAAUCAUCAAAAUUAAAUUUAAUUAUUUAUAUGAUUUAAUUUUUUUUUUUUUUUUUUUUGUCAUCAAAAUACAGACUCAUACCGACUCUGUGAACCAAACUGGGUGAUCUGCAUCCAUGUGAACGACGAAAGACGAUUGAUUUCGAGCAUUGCGUGCUAGACUAUCCGCCUUUGAAUUGUGCGUCCGUGGUACAUAGAUGAGCUCUGAUCGGGUGAAGCUCUCCUUCAGGAUCUUGAUAUCUUCCAAAUAAUUUGCAAAAGCUGGCCAUUCCUCUGGUUCCGAAACCAUCUUCACCAGUUGAGAACAAUCCGUUGCAAACGUCACUUGAAAUUGACGCAAGUUCUUCAUACACUCCAUUGCCCAUAAUAAUGCUUCCAUUUCUGCAUGGAGAGGCGAGAGAGUAGCCCUCACAUUUCGAGCCCCCAACAAGCCAUCAAAACCUUCCAGAGUACUGAACCAACCUUGUCCUGAAAAAUUAAUACCCUCCUUCCACGAGCCAUCCGUAAAGCACCAUCUUCCUGGGAUCGACGGCAGUACCGUAGCUGCUGAUGGUAAUGGUAUCCUCUGGUCCUUCUUUACUUGUGCCUCAGCCCACAAUGUGGAUUCUGUUUCAGCCAGUUUUAGCGUGUCCAUAGGAUCCAUGUCCAAAUUACUGAAAACCUUAUUAUUUCUACCUUUCCAAAUGUACCAAAGUAUCCAUGCAAACUGAUGAUCUUCCAUCUGCGGAGAAACUCGCCAGAAUAGAUGAUCGAUGUUUGUAAAGAGGGCGCUCGUUGGAAAAACAUCUGGAUUUGAUGGUAUUUUCGAAAGGGCCCAAACUUGAACAGCUGGAGGGCAUUCAAAAAACACAUGGUUUAUAGAUUCCUCGGGAGCUCCACAUCGUACACAACCAAUAUCCCCUUGUAUUCCUCUUGCAUGUAAAUUUUUCCGAACCGCUAUGCACCCUGUCACCAAUUGCCAUAAGAAAUGUUUUAGCUUUGGUAGACACCUUAUUUUCCAGCAGUAAGCCUUCAAGACAUCAACCGUUGGCCCAAUCAGUAAAGGUGGCCUUUCUCUGUCAGGAUAAAUCCGUUCCACUUGAUAUCCUGAUUUAACCGAAUAUUUACCAUUUUUCGUGAAGUGCCAUCCAUCUUUAUCCACCUGCUGAAUCCUACUUAGUGGGAUACUUUCUAUUAGUUUUGCAUCCUGAGGAUCCACCAAAGUCCGAAUUGCCUCUAAAUUCCAUGUUCGCGAGAUAGAGUCAAUGAGAGACUCUACUGUAAGGUCCGGGUAUAAAUUGUGUUGAUUUUUAUUUGCUGGUCUCGGGCGAGUGGUUGGGAGCCAUGGAUCAUUCCAUACAGAUAUAGAAGACCCUAAUCCCACCCUUUUGAUUAGUCCUUUGCUAACCAGAGAUCUAGCAGAAACAAUACUCCGCCAGCCGUAUGACGGGGCAUAUGAACGAAUCGGUUCCAAGGGUGAAGCAUUCCUAAAAUACCGACCUUUGAAAACUCGAGAAAAUAAGGUAUUUGGCUUCUCUAUCAGACGCCAUAACUGUUUACCAAGCAUUGCCGUGUUGAAAUCAGUGAUAUCUUUAAAACCCAACCCUCCUUCUUCCUUAUCGAGACAUACCUUGUCCCAUGAUUUCCAGUGCAUACCUCUCGUGCUUCCCCCUGGACUCCACCAAAAUUGUGAUACCGCACUUGUCAGCUUUUUCACCGUUGCUUUAGGCAAACGAUAACAUGACAUCGUAUGAUUUGGUAAUGCCGUAACCACCGACUUAAUAACCACUUCUUUCCCCCCUUUUGUGAAAAACUUGAAAGUCCACCCAUUGACUCUAUUAUUUAAACGCUCUUGUACAAAACUGAAAACCUGGAUCUUGGAUCCGCCUAGAUUUUCUGGUAAGCCAAGAUAUGAUCCCAUUCCUCCAAGAUUCUGAAUACCCAAGAUAUCCCUUAACUCCUGUCUGACAGAUUCUUCAAUCUUAUAUCCAAAUUGGAUAGAAGACUUAUCAAAAUUUAUGAGUUGCCCUGAAACUGCCUCAUAUUCCUUUAGAAUCCUAAGGAUUGUUUGACACUCUUCUUUUUGGGCUCUACAAAAGAAAAGACUAUCAUCCGCAAAGAGCAGAUGAGAAAUCGAUGGACAAGCCCGAGCUACCUUCAUUCCUGUAAUUUGUUGUUCUCUCUCUGCCUUUUUUAUAUUUGCAAUUAAAGCCUCAGUGCAAAGAAUAAAUAAGUAAGGUGAUAAAGGGUCUCCUUGACGUAAACCCCUAUGUGGCACAAUAAGGCCACGUGGUUGACCAUUUAUAAGAACCCUAUAUUGAACCGAAGAAAUACAUUCCAUCAUCAACUUAAUCCAGUGAAGAUCAAACCCCAUUUUUUCCAAUAAAACCUCAAUAAAACCCCAUUCCACCCUAUCAUAUGCUUUACUCAUAUCCGUUUUAAUUGCCAUAUACUUUCCUUUACAAGCCUUGUUGGUUCUCAAUCCGUGAAACAUUUCCUGUGCAAUAAGAAUAUUAUCAGAUAUCAAUCUUCCCGCCACAAAUGCCGAUUGAGUUUCGGAAAUAAGUGAAGGAAGACAGCUUUUUAAGCGCUGACACAAGACUUUUGAGAUGAUUUUAUAUCCAACAUUACAAAGACUGAUUGGCCUCAAUUCCGUCAUCCGUGUAGGUCUCUCCGUUUUUGGUAUCAUACAAAUAUUGGUAAUAUUUAAACGUGCAUCCAAAGUCCCUGAAACCAAGAAAUGAUUAACCAUUUCUACCAAAUCAUUCUUUAUAAGAUGCCAAGAAUGUUGGAAAAAAAGUGCUGUCAUGCCAUCCGGCCCUGGUGCCUUCUCUGGAUGCAUCAUAAACAAAGCCUCUUUAACCUCUUCCUCCGUCGCUAACCUCACCAGACGUUGAUUCAUCUGGGAAGUAAUGCUCGGUGUAAUCUCUGCCAGAAAACUGUCAAACUCCGAUGGGGAAGUAGUAGUAAAUAAAUCCUCGAAAUAGUCCACGGCCACCUUCUCCACACCAUUAUCAUCUGUAAUCCAAUUCCCAUUAGCAUCGUGUAAUCCAACAAUUCUAUUGCGAACUCUCCGCUGCCUAGUUAAAGCAUGAUAAAAUUUCGUAUUAAGAUCCCCAGAUGAAUACCACAUGUUCCUGCUUUUUUGGUGCCAAUAAUCUUCUUCAUCCUUGUAUGCUUCUUGUAACUUCCUAGACACUUCCAGAAUAUCCUCUUGUGACCUAGAGUUAUCUGUUUGCACCUCUUCAAGUGCCUGUUGUAGUUCAUUUAUUUUUUCCUUUCCAUAAGGUGGAUUAUUUUUCCGCCAUCUAGCAAUUUCAUGUCGACAAUUACUAAUUUUUGCCACUAUACCUGCUGCGCCCCCUCCUAACCGCUCCUCAUUAGAAUCUAUCCAACCCAUUGAAAUUGAUUCUAAGAGACCUUCUUGUCCAAUCCACCUUUUAUCAAACCGAAACUGUCCUCUCCGUUUGGGAACUUUAUCUUCCAUAUAAGCUACCACAGGACGGUGAUCAGAAGCCACCAUCCCAAGAUACUCUGUAAAAGAACACGGGAAUAGGGUAUGCCAUUCUUCAUUUGCUAGCGCACGGUCCAACCGACAUCGAACCAACACAGCCCCUUUCCCUUUUCCUCUUCUCCCUUGCCAUGACAUUUUAUUUCCCCUAGCUGGAAAUUCUAGCAGACCACUAUUUCUUAUCAUAUUAUUAAAAGGAAUAAAAGAAUCUGCACUCCUAAUAGCCCCACCAUCUUUUUCAUGAUUUCCAGUAAUCUCAUUAAGAUCUCCAAUAAUAAACCAGGGAUCGGAUCUCGCCAGUCCAUACCUAGUUAACCGUUCCCAUACCUGUUCCCGCAAUUUUUGAACUGGAUCCCCAUAUACAAAGGUAAGAUAGACCGUUUUACCCAGAGCUUCCGCUUCCACAUCUAUCAUUCGAUUACUAGAAAAUAAUACCUUAACUUGAUACUCAUUAUUAUAGAAAAGCGCUAAUCCUCCACUUCUCCCCACCGGGUCUAUAGUAACGAUAUUAUCAAACCCCAAAUGAGCUUGCCAUUUUUGGACAAACUCUGCAUCUUGCUUUGUCUCUGAUAAAAACAAAAAAUCCGGUUUAUGUUUAUACCUUAUCUCCUUUAAAUAGCUUAGCGUCCACUUACUUCCCAUUCCUCGACAAUUCCAACUUAAAACCCGCAUUUAAAAAACAUUUUAAUUUGCUCUUGAGAGCUGAGUCUAUGGGUGUAAUGAUACCCGAUUUCCACACUCCAAUUGUUAACCGUUCGUUGUGGUCUGGACCAUCCCAUAAUGACCGGGAAAGAUACCACUAACAUAAUCCAAAUUCUAUCAUAUAGCCUCCAUAAUGAUAUAACGCUGCUUCCAUAAAUAAUAUAAAAACUAUAACUUUUCGACCCACCAAAGUCAUGCAAUAUAUAUGCAAAGCCAUCUACCCCCACGUGAAAAGAUUUUCUUUCACCCAAAAAACCAAACCCGCUUUCUUCUUGGUUUGAGUAAGAACCAUCAAUUCGCUUUACAUGUGCCUCAUAAUACGAUCCUCUCCAUCCAACUUGUACCUGAUCCAAAAUUCCCAAUGCCAAAAAAACGCAAUCUAAAACCCCUAACUUCAAGUGCCACCAUUGACAAACUAACAAACUCCCCAGCCAUUUUCUAUUAUUUGAUAGACUUAUUAAGCACCAUUCACCCAUAAAACUACUACUUAACUGCUUCCAUUCCAACCCAACAAACUCUAUUCUAAUCCAAUAUCCAUCAAAAUAACCAAUACGAUUACAAAGCCAAUAACAAAAGACUGUUGUAUUAAAUCGUUGCUUCUCCCCCAAGUAAACCACAAAUAAAAACCGUCUCUUACAACACUUCGAAACAGAGAAAACGCACUUGCUCAUAGAGCUUAUUAAAACCAGAAAACAAAGUAAAUCAUAAGACAAGCCCGGCCUGCUUAAGAAACCUUUAGAACAUCUACUAACCAUAAAUCAAAUCUUCUGAGUCCCAAGUUUCAGGUUUGAAGCACCCUUACUCUCCGCUUGCUUGAUGGUAUCUCCCGUACGCACUCCUGGCUUCGCUGCAGCUCGCUUACGUGGGGACGCAAGUGCAUUAAACGCUCUCAAUUUACUACUACCCGCAGUACCGGUUGAUGCCUUAAACAGCCUCUUACGUAGUCCUGGUUUCUUCUCCGCAUUUCCAGCAAACGUGCCUUGCUCCUCUUCCACAGUCCCCCCAUCUGUCACAUGAGCAUUGUUAUCUUCUGCCUGUUCCUUGAUCACUUCCUCAGUUUCUUCCUCUGCUAUCUCCUCUAAAAAAUCCUCUGCAUCCAUAUCAAUCCCAUUCUCAAGUAGAUGAGCCUUAAUCUCAUCCAUGUCCAUCACAUCCUCAUCUUCUAAGUCAACUUGAUCCUCCUGCAUACCAUGUACCUCUGCCAAUCCACGGUCCACGUCAGUAGGAUCCGAGAUGACUGUUGUUCCCUCAGUCUGAGUUUUGGCCAGUUCCACUUGAAACGCUUGAGAGGGUGGCAUUAUGCGAGCCUCCGCAACGGACCUAAUCUCACCCUCCUCUCGAACUUCCUCACGAACCUCUUGUUGAAACGGUUGCUUAGUCUGUUCUGAAGAGUGUCGAAGAUGCCCACUCUGAACACCAGACCUUGAGUCCUCUCGCCUUGCAGGUCUGUAUCGAGAAGCCUCCCCAUCUCCUCUAUAUGUUCCACGGUUGGUGUUGGCUCUCUUAUUUCCUCUCUCUGGCACCUUCAUCCAUUUUGAAUCGAUUUCUUCCCCCAUUUUGCCUUUACCUUUGCCAUAAUACUCACGGCCCUCUCUUUCUUUUUGCUGUUGAUUCGCAUUUCCAUUAAUGACUACACCUUUAUAACUCCUUGCACGAUCAUCGUACUUCCCUCCAUCAUGCCAAACCCCAUUACCUUCUCUUCCCUCACGUUUCUUUUCUGGACUCUUCUUAGUGUUCUUCACAUCUAGGGGACAGACGUCGUCCUUGUGGCAAAGACUACCGCACACUUGGCAAUAUCCAAACAGCUUCUCAUACCGCAGUGAUACCGGAGCUUCCUCUCCAUCAUAGAACUCCCCACCAGUGAAAUCUAUCGUGGUUUCAAAGCACAAUUCUUUAAACGCAUCAACCACCACUUGCACUCGAGAAUGAUCCAAAUCUACCGUCAGCGUUCUUCCUAUGGCGUCUCCAAUGCUUUCAAAAGUGGCUUCCGUUUUGAACUCCACCGGUACUCCUAUGAUUCGAACCCAAAAAGUUAUUUCCGACGGAUAGAGCAGGGACUUUUUAGGUUGCCACCGUGCCAAAGCCAACAUCCAGUAAUCAAAAUGAAAAGGUUGAUUCUUGAGAACCCCUUCCAUGUCUUCCACCGUUUCGAAAUCAAACUGGAACUUCCCAAACCCCAAAUCCGUACCAACAACCCUCUCUUCCAGUUUCCAUAUCUUCGGGAGAUUCGAAAUUAGAGCCGGCAUCUCCUGCAUCUCCGGAUUCAUACAUCUUCCGAGAAGGGUCUUGGAAAAGUUCUUGAUGAGAGCUGAAUUAUCAAAGUGGGCCACUGAUAUCUUCAGACGUUUGCGAACUCCUUCUCCGUUCUUCACCUCCCCCCCAUUUCCCAAAAGUUGACUCUGUGACAUAGCGAAAAGAAGAAAAAAAAAACUUUGAACUUUAUCAAUUGCAAGAGAGAAAGUUGCAAGGUCUAUGAUCCAAGGAAAGAAACCCUUCGUCCAUUUAUACUGAUCCAAAAUCCCAAUAAUUUCCUUAAUUUCCCUAAUUCUGCUUUGAUUCGUGAUAACAAAAUCAAACGCCCAUAAUAACCACAAACUUAUUCGGUAAUCCCGCUUAUCUUGUACAAAUAUCAUCGAACUUUCCAUAUGAAACCCUUUGCAGAAUUUCUCCAUAUCUCCACAUCUCUGAAAAAACCAGCGAAAGGAAAGAAAGGAUAUACCUCUUCCUUGAUUCAAUUUCGUCUUAAAGAUGAUCGAAAUAAAAAUCAAAGACCCAAUCUUCAUACUUCCUUGUUUUCGCCAGAUCCAAAUCUCCAUCGUUGUAGCACCCUCGAUCCAAUUAGCCGUUCCAGAAUCAGAAGGAAAAUCCAAUCUUCCAUCUGCAACAUUCCGAUCUUGGAGAAUCCCAUCUCCAAAUCGACUCUCUGAAUCCCAAUGAUCCGAUAAUGCCUCUCCAAUCCCCGGAUCCCAAUCCCUUUGAAUCAUCGAAACCCUAGAUCACUAAAUCGCCUUUUGCAUCGCCGUGUUUUUUUAACUCGUACUGCAACUUAUAUGAUUUAAUUUUUUUUAUCAGGCAUAUAAAAUUAUAAAUUAUAGAUUAUAAUAUAUUCUUUAUAAAAUGAGUUUCCGUGCGAUAUCGCACGGGCUCUUUGCCUAGUAUAUAUAAUAUCAGUUCUGAAAACUGGUGCUUUAAAAAUUAAUAUUUCGGCAUCGCUAGGGACAGGAAACCGACACAUGGUAACAUAUGACUAGUUUAGACCACUUUUGUGAAGUCAGGAUAUCUCUGUAUAAUUCAAAAAAAAAAAGAGUGGUUGUUUUCUACAUAAUGAGGAAACCAAUAUGGUUUGGUUUAAUGAAUCAAACUUAGCUACUAAAAAUGAAUUAUACUUAGGAUGAAGAGUCUAGCUAGUGUUGAUAUUCAGCUUUGACUUGGACUAAUUGCUGAAUACGAGAAAUUGGAUGCUGGUUAGUGUUUGUCAUGUGUAGAUAAAAUUGAAGGAGAUAUAUCUAAUUUUACCUCGAAAACAAUUGAAGACCCGUAGACUUUUAUUUACAGUGGAAGAAGAUAGUCUUCUAUCAACAAGUUAUGAGAACAACUUUUUUGUGAGGAUAUAUAUUUUGGAGAUUAAUUUUGUGAACCGUAUUCACUUGAUGUACUUGGUGGGGAUAAUGGGAUAAUUUUUGAUUUUUUUUUCUUAUAAUGAGGUACAGAGCCGGUCUUAGAAUUUGAAAGGUUGGAUGCAAAAAAUAAAUUGUGGUCACUUUUUAAAGUAAAAUAAAAAGAAAAAAUAGGAAGUGGAAUCAUACCUGUUGGUUGUUGAACCAUGAUCUAUUGAUUAUGUGAACAUGAGUUUACCACUAAACUACAGAAAACAUCUGUAAUAUGUGGCCGAAUUCAAUAAAUAAAUCAUUAUAGAUCAACUUUGAUUUUCAAGAGUGGAAAUGGUUUAAUAUUAUGAUUGGUUUGAAAGAGACGUUGGGGCUUCUUGUAUUACUUAUCUUGGGCUUUGUUCUUUUUAGGACUUCGGCCGACUAAUAAAAUUAGAGGGAAAAAAAAAGAAAGAGACGUUGAACUAAAAUAACGGUAAAAAAAAUGACGAGAAAGUUACUCUGUUCUUUUACUCAAACGCUUUAAAGAGUUAAAAAUAUUAUUUGGCAUGCUUAUUUGCUAUGAAGGCACGAAACUUCUAUGAACAAAAGAAGAAAUCAAAAGAGAACCAUAGCAAACUAAGCAUAUAAAAAACAACAAGUGUAAACAUAGAAACAUGCAUCACAGAAGAAAGUGUGAAAGGGUUAAAACUUACAUCAGGUUUUUGUACAGUGAAGCUAUCAGUUAGUCUACAACUUAAUGUAACCCAUUUAUUUGACACACUUCAGUUUCUAAUUUCUAUUCUAUCUUGUACAUCGCUAACGAAUGAGUUAAAAUUAAUCUCUGAAGAUCCAACGGUUGUAACCGCAUCUUUGAUAUGACGAUUAACCUUCUCAACGUUGCUUCUCAGCUCACUUAAAGUUUCUUCGUUCAUCAACCGCUUAAUAUUCACCGAGACUUCAUCCCUUGUGACCAUCUUGUUCUCACAAAGGUUAAUUCCAGUGCGCCAAUCAUCCACCACAAGCUUCCGGUUCGUGAACUGAUCGUUUAAAAGCGGAUAACACAACAAUGGUAAACCACACCAAACGCUUUCUAGAACCGAAUUCCACCCGCAUUGUGUCAAAAACCCUCCAAUGGCCGGGUUUGAGAUUACUGCCAUCUGACAACACCACUGGACCACGAUGCCUCGACUUUGGGCUCGGUCCAUAAACCCGGUUGGAAGAAAAUCCUGCACGUCAGAGCUAACUAUAUCUGGACGUAAAACCCAAAUGAAACUAACUCCACUUAGCAAAAGCCCAUGUGCUAUCUCCACUAUCUCCUUCUUACCAACAUGGGCAUAGCUACCAAACGAGACGUAGAGGACUGAUCCGGUGGGGCGGCCUUUGAGCCACUCGGUACAAUCAGACUCGGCCCACAGGCUUGUUGGGACAACCAAUUCGGUUGAGAAAACCGGACCGAUGGCAUAAACAGGUUGGUUGGCUUGUAGAGCAGAGAGAGAGUCUGGUUCUAGCUCUUGUACGGUGUUGCACAAAACGAAAUCUGCUUUCUUGACGUCUGUGAA